CUACGGGUUGCUCCAGUGAGGAAUAUUGGGCAAUGGGCGCAAGCCUGACCCAGCCAUGCCGCGUGAAGGAUGAAUGCCCUACGGGUUGUAAACUUCUUUUGUACGGGACGAAACUUCCGAUCGUGAUCGGAACUGACUGUACCGUUCGAAUAAGCAUCGGCUAACUCCGUGCCAGCAGCCGCGGUAAUACGGAGGAUGCAAGCGUUAUCUGGAUUCAUUGGGUUUAAAGGGUGUGUAGGCGGAAUAGUAAGUCAGUGGUGAAAGCCUGCGGCUUAACCGUAGAAUUGCUAUUGAUACUGUUAUUCUUGAGUAUAGUUGAGGUGGGCGGAAUGUGUAAUGUAGCGGUGAAAUGCUUAGAUAUUACACAGAACACCAAUUGCGAAGGCAGCUCACUAAACUAUCGCUGACGCUGAGGCACGAAAGCGUGGGGAGCAAACAGGAUUAGAUACCCCCGUAGUC
rnacentral:rRNA from 1 species